rnacentral:rRNA from 1 species
UUAGUUUGAUUUCUGGCUCAGGACGAACGCUGGCGGCGUGCCUAAUACAUGCAAGUAGAACGCUGAGAACUGGUGCUUGCACCGGUUCAAGGAGUUGCGAACGGNCUGNAGUAACGCGUAGGUAACCUACCUCAUAGCGGGGGAUAACUAUUGGAAACGAUAGCUAAUACCGCAUAAGAGAGACUAACGCAUGUUAGUAAUUUAAAAGGGGCAAUUGCUCCACUAUGAGAUGGACCUGCGUUGUAUUAGCUAGUUGGUGAGGUAAGGCUCACCAAGGCGACGAUACAUAGCCGACCUGAGAGGGUGAUCGGCCACACUGGGACUGAGACACGGCCCAGACUCCUACGGGAGGCAGCAGUAGGGAAUCUUCGGCAAUGGGGGCAACCCUGACCGAGCAACGCCGCGUGAGUGAAGAAGGUUUUCGGAUCGUAAAGCUCUGUUGUUAGAGAAGAAUGAUGGUGGGAGUGGAAAAUCCACCAAGUGACGGUAACUAACCAGAAAGGGACGGCUAACUACGUGCCAGCAGCCGCGGUAAUACGUAGGUCCCGAGCGUUGUCCGGAUUUAUUGGGCGUAAAGCGAGCGCAGGCGGUUUUUUAAGUCUGAAGUUAAAGGCAUUGGCUCAACCAAUGUACGCUUUGGAAACUGGAGAACUUGAGUGCAGAAGGGGAGAGUGGAAUUCCAUGUGUAGCGGUGAAAUGCGUAGAUAUAUGGAGGAAACACCCGGUGGCGAAAGCGGCUCUCUGGUUCUGUAACUGACGCUGAGGCUCGAAAGCGUGGGGAGCAAACAGGAUUAGAUACCUGGGGUAGU